UGAAGAGUUUGAUCCUGGCUCAGGAUGAACGCUAGCGGCAGGCUUAACACAUGCAAGUCGAGGGGUAACAUUAGUGCUUGCACUAGAUGACGACCGGCGCACGGGUGCGUAACGCGUAUAGAAUCUACCUUUUACAGGGGGAUAGCCUUUAGAAAUGAAGAUUAAUAUCCCAUAGUAUUGCGAAGUGGCAUCACUUUGUAAUUAAAGAUUUAUCGGUAAAAGAUGACUAUGCGUCCUAUUAGUUAGUUGGUAAGGUAACGGCUUACCAAGACUUCGAUAGGUAGGGGUCCUGAGAGGGAGAUCCCCCACACUGGUACUGAGACACGGACCAGACUCCUACGGGAGGCAGCAGUGAGGAAUAUUGGGCAAUGGAGGUAACUCUGACCCAGCCAUGCCGCGUGCAGGAAGACUGCCCUAUGGGUUGUAAACUGCUUUUAUACAGGAAGAAACACUGCUACGUGUAGCAGCUUGACGGUACUGUAAGAAUAAGGACCGGCUAACUCCGUGCCAGCAGCCGCGGUAAUACGGAGGGUCCGAGCGUUAUCCGGAAUCAUUGGGUUUAAAGGGUCCGCAGGCGGUCAAUUAAGUCAGAGGUGAAAUCCCAUAGCUUAACUAUGGAACUGCCUUUGAUACUGGUUGACUUGAGUCAUAUGGAAGUAGAUAGAAUGUGUAGUGUAGCGGUGAAAUGCAUAGAUAUUACACAGAAUACCGAUUGCGAAGGCAGUCUACUACGUAUGUACUGACGCUCAUGGACGAAAGCGUGGGGAGCGAACAGGAUUAGAUACCCUGGUAGUCCACGCCGUAAACGAUGGACACUAGUUGUUGGGCAUUAGCUCAGUGACUAAGCGAAAGUGAUAAGUGUCCCACCUGGGGAGUACGAUCGCAAGAUUGAAACUCAAAGGAAUUGACGGGGGCCCGCACAAGCGGUGGAGCAUGUGGUUUAAUUCGAUG
rnacentral:rRNA from 1 species